AUGGAUACACGUGAUAUUCUCAAUGGGCAAUCUCCAAUACUGAAGGUGAUGAUCGGCGAUCUGGGUCCGUCUGUUGCGUCGUCGACGAUGGAGGUGUGGCUCCCAGCCUAUAUCGGUUGCUUCUGGAUCGGAAGUGUGGAGGUUAUGCCGAAAUCAGUGGUUGUUGAGAGGAGAGAUUAUCACCAAGAAAGUGACAGUGAAGUUGUUAUUGUCCUGCUUGUGUAG